rnacentral:pre_miRNA from 1 species
UCCUCUUUUUGAUAAACAUUCUUUCCUAAGUACUAGUGCCGCAGGAGAUAUUUAGUUUAAAUCCCUGCUGCUCAAGUGCUUAUCAAGGAGUUUCAUCAAAUCUACAA